CAAAUGAUAGUAGCAUAUGCUUAAAAUCCAUUGAAAGUGAUGUAAUCAGUCUGUCUACUGCUGAUAAAGAGAACAAGGACCGAGUAUAUGGCUGUGUAAAAAAGUGUUUUAAUUCCUUGUGUCUUCCUUAUGGUGAUGGAGUAGACAAUUUAGCACUAUACAACACCCUUGGUCCUUAUGUAAAGAACAUUAGCCUGAGACUUGUGACAGAGCAAUUGCAGAUAGAGAAAUUGUUUGUCCUUGAAUUGUCUGGAUAUUUAGCAUCUUCUUUGGAUCAAUCUACAGGUAUUAGAGAUUUAAAUCGAACAGUCUUUUCUCUUGUAAAACUUGCCCUCAACUGGACUUCUGAUGAUCAAUUUACAUAUUCUGUGCCUGUGCUG